UGCGGUGUGGUGCAGUUCGGCAGCACGCUGGGCUCAUACCCCAGAGGCCGCGGGUUCAAGUCCCGCCACCGCGA
rnacentral:tRNA from 1 species